rnacentral:misc_RNA from 1 species
UCCGAGUUGACCCCGGCAGUCUCCCAUGAGUCCCCGGCAUAACCCGCUGGCAACAUGGGACGAGGGUUGCGCUCGUUGCGGGACUUAACCCAACAUCUCACGACACGAGCUGACGACAACCAUGCACCACCUGUGCACCGACCUCGCGGAACCACCAUCUCUAUAGCUUUUCCGUACAUUUCAAGCCUUGGUAAGGUUCUUCGCGUUGCUUCGAAUUAAGCCACAUGCUCCGCCGCUUGUGCGGGCCCCCGUCAAUUCCUUUGAGUUUUAGCCUUGCGGCCGUACUCCCCAGGCGGGGCAUUUAAUGCGUUAGCGCCGGCACGGGAGGAGUCGACACCUCCCACACCUAAUGCCCAUCGUUUACGGCGUGGACUAC